rnacentral:piRNA from 1 species
UGAUGAUUCAGUGAGUAAAGAUGC